CCCGUGUAUUAGCUCGUGAAAAGGGGAGACCAGAGACGGAGGCGAGGCAACGGCGGCGACGGCGGCGGGGAAAGGCGACGGCGGUGGGGAAAGAACGCACAAAUCACAACGGCGGCGAUGAGGUACUCCUCCGGCGAAAGGUCCCCGCUAGAGGUCCUCUGGCGGCAGCGUGGUUUCCGGCGUUUGGCGGCGAGCGUGCCAGACUUCUAAUGUUCUUCAAACUAAAUGACAAUGAGUUUAUGGCGGCAGUUGCUUAUCUGUUGGGUCGAGCAUUUAUUUAUAUGUGUGUUCUAGUUCGAGAAAAUUGUAUGACAAAAUUGCAUGAUACUGAGUUUAUGUUAAAGACGAAGUUUUUAAUUUA